CAUGGUACCAGUGGGUUCUGACAAACAGCAAGUCAGUGUUGCACAACCAGCUGGUCCAUCUAUGGAGGUAUUAAAACAAGUAUUCUUCUUACAGAAUGCUUGAGAGACUAAAAUGUAAACAUCAACCAGAACCAGAACCCAGCUGUGUGUCCUUUAAGAGCAACAGGUCAAGGACUCCUCCUCCUGACUUCAAAUCUUCAGGACCUGCGUCCUCAGAGAGAGUGGACCAGCAGAACUCAGAGGUUCCCAGAGGUCCGUCUGCCCGGCAGCAUCAAAUCCACCUGGACUCCAUAUUUAUGCUGCUGGAGGACAACAUUGUCACUUUUGUGAAGAAGGAGC